rnacentral:rRNA from 1 species
GACGAACGCUGGCGGCAUGCCUAACACAUGCAAGUCGAACGAGAUCUUCGGGUCUAGUGGCGCACGGGUGCGUAACGCGUGGGAAUCUGCCCUUUGGUUCGGAAUAACAGUUGGAAACGACUGCUAAUACCGGAUGAUGACGAAAGUCCAAAGAUUUAUCGCCAGAGGAUGAGCCCGCGUAGGAUUAGCUAGUUGGUGUGGUAAAGGCGCACCAAGGCGACGAUCCUUAGCUGGUCUGAGAGGAUGAUCAGCCACACUGGGACUGAGACACGGCCCAGACUCUACGGGAGGCAGCAGUGGGGAAUAUUGGACAAUGGGCGAAAGCCUGAUCCAGCAAUGCCGCGUGAGUGAUGAAGGCCUUAGGGUUGUAAAGCUCUUUUACCCGGGAUGAUAAUGACAGUACCGGGAGAAUAAGCUCCGGCUAACUCCGUGCCAGCAGCCGCGGUAAUAC